rnacentral:rRNA from 1 species
CACUAGCGAUCCGCCGGUGGCUCUUUGGCCCUGGUGGGGAGCUUCCCGGAAACGAAAGUCUUCCGGUUCCGGGGGAAGUAUGGUUGCAAAGCUGAAACUUAAAGGAAUUGACGGAAGGGCACCACCAGGAGUGGAGCCUGCGGCUUAAUUUGACUCAACACGGGAAAACUCACCCGGCCCGGACACCGUGAGGAUUGACAGAUUGAUAGCUUUUUCAUGAUUCGGUGGUUGGUGGUGCAUGGCCGUUCUUAGUUCGUGGAUCGAUUUGUCUGGUUUAUUCCGAUAACGAGCGAGACUCCAGCCUACUAACUAGUGCGAGCAUUGCCUCUGUGCUUGUCACUUCUUAGAGGGAUUGGCUGCGUCUAGCGGCACGAAACGGAGCAAUAACAGGUCUGUGAUGCCCUUAGAUGUCCGGGGCUGCACGCGCGCUACACUGGCAAAAGCAGCGUGCUUGUCCGCCUCCGAAAGGAGCCGGUAAACCCUUGAAAAUUUGCCGUGAUUGGGAUCGGAAAUUGCAAUUAUUUUCCGUGAACGAGGAAUUCCUAGUAAGUGCGAGUCAUCAGCUCGCGU